rnacentral:rRNA from 1 species
CCUACGGGCGGCAGCAGUGGGGAAUCUUGCGCAAUGGGCGGAAGCCUGACGCAGCGACGCCGCGUGCGGGUCGAAGGCCUUCGGGUCGUAAACCGCUUUCAGCAGGGACGAGGCCCUCACGGUGACGGUACCUGCAGAAGAAGCCCCGGCUAACUACGUGCCAGCAGCCGCGGUACUACGGGGGGGGCGAGCGUUAUCCGGAUUCAUUGGGCGAAAAGCGCGCGUAGGGGGCCUGGUAGGUCGGGGGUCAAAUACUGGGGCUCAACCCCGGUCCGCCCACGAUAACGGCAGGCUUGAGUCUGGUAGGGGAAGGCGGAAUUCCCAGUGUAGCGGUUGAAUGCGCAGAUAUUGGGAAGAACACCGGCGGCGAAGGCGGCCUUCUGGGCCACGACUGACGCUGAGGCGCGAAAGCUAGGGGAGCGAACAGGAUUAGAUACCCGGGUAGUC